GGGGCCAUAGCUCAGUGGUAGAGCGUCUGCAUAGCAUGGGUGAGGUCCUGGGUUCCAUCCCCAGCACCUCCA
rnacentral:tRNA from 1 species